rnacentral:tRNA from 1 species
GGACCUGUAGCUCAGCAGUAGAGCGCGUGGCUGCUUCGGCAGCGUUGCAGGUUUCGCCUGUUCCCCGGAUCGGUCCGACUUGCCGAGUUGGUGGUGAAGAUGUCUGAUUCAUCGGGUCGCGGGUUCGAAUCCCGCCGGGUCCA